UCGAGCUAGAAGCUUUCGACAGGAGCGUGCUUAGGGACGCGACUUGCUUUCCCACAACGCGCAGACAUUCCCGCUAGAGGGAUGUAAUGUUCUCGAGGUCCGAGCACUUCGUAGGCGGUCUGUAAUACCUCUCCCGCUUUUCUAGCACCACUGCUAGAACGAUUGGGUUCCCCAGGAUACAACGUGAGUCGCAUGCUCUCUUAGUACUCUUAGGGUAUUCAAUGAAGAAGUUGCCUCAGAACAGUACUAGUGGUGCUUGAGAAAACUGAACGAUACAAAAAGAACGCCGCCAUCGCGUCAACUGCGAGCUUUGGAGGGAAGACACGGGCACUCUUUUCGUAUAACGAACUCGGGCUUUUGCGGCCCAUGUACUUUUCUGGAUCUCAGGAAUAUGGAUACAUCGCUCAGAAGCACCAUUUUCUUCUUCAUGACACUUCUUACAUUGGACCUGCUUCUAGUUAUUUUUGCGCGUCCGUAUAUCGCAAGAGAGUGCAAACGUGGAUUUGGUCCUAACGCUCCAACAUCGAUAUAUAGUGCGCUGCAAGGACUUUUCAACGAUGCUAUGCGCAUGUUCAGACGUGCGCUUUCACGGUAACAUUUCAACCUAAAUCGGGCAAUUCAAAUAAAGUACGCAAAACCAUUGA